CCUGCUGUUCCACCAGCAGUACCCUACUCGGUACUGCGGGACGGUAACGUCCCGUGGAAAGCCCGAGGACAACGUAUCCACGACCGACUGGUCGGGACAAGGGCUGUAAAGCGCUUGUCAAUCUGCAAGCAUCAUCAGCGGAUAGGAAC
rfam:Herpetosiphon aurantiacus DSM 785, complete genome.